rnacentral:lncRNA from 1 species
AGCCACCCUUUUCCCCUCCUCUCUUCCCCUCAGCGCCGAAUCGUUCUUCCUUCCACUCUCGCCGCCGCCGCAGCCGCUGCUGUUCCCGUGGUUGCCACAAGUUGCUAUCGCGCGCCCUGCCAUCGCUAUCCAUCGCUAUUGUUGCUGGUUUUCCUGCUGUCGCGGCUGUGUCGCCAUUGCUGGAGCUGCCACUGCCGUUGCCACUCACCGCCGCCGCUGCUGUUCCCGUGGCUGUCGCCUCAUUAAAACUUGUUGGAAACAUGAAUUGAAAGCCUUUGAUUGCAAUUCUUUUUUGAUCUUUUUUGAAACAUGGUUAGUUGAUUUUGCUGCUUUUGGUUUCAGCUAUUUUGUUAUUAUCAUCAUUUGAUUGCAAUUCUUCUUAUUUCUGGUAUUUAUUUCUAUUNN